AAGAUACAGAUAAAUCCGUUCCCUAUCCUCUGGUAUUUACAUUUUUAUAGAAUACACACAAUGACUGUAUUAUAUUUACCAGGAUAAUUUUGCCCACUAGAGCAUUAGCAUAUCUAAUCAAUUUAUAUUAUAAAACAGGAGGAGAAUCUAAAUCUGUUUUUACGGCUUAUGGAGGAUAUAAAAUAUGAAAGGUUGCUGUUUGGUGAUAUUAGUGGUCUGACUUCGUCUGGUAUGUAUGCUCUUUGUUGCGUGAUUGCAUUCCUCUGUAUAGCCAUUUAUUGUUGUUAUUAGGGCGUAUUGAUACUCUUGUGCGGA
rnacentral:rRNA from 1 species